rnacentral:lncRNA from 1 species
AGGAGGAUGUGGAGAAGGUCAAAUUGCCUAAAAGUGUGGCAGAUUGCAACUACUAGUAAGUAUGUUACCUGUAAGAUUUUUUUAGUUUACUUCUGUUACUUGUAGGCUUUUCUUAUUUACAAUAACCAUUGUUACAUGUAGGAUACAUUGUAGGGAGAAGACCAUCAAGAUGCAUUUGUUAAAUUUGCACAUGGAAGUAAAUCAAGCAAUGGAUCUAUAUUGGUCGUCACCCUUGAAUGAUGGAGUUCUUGCAUGGCUUAUGUUGCCUGAACUUUAGAUGUGACAUAUGUCAACUUCUCAACCUUGGACUAUUAAGUUUAUGUUGUCAUUGAACUUUGAACUAUGGAUGUGACAUAUGUCAUCUUAUUUUGCUAAACUCAUGAAUGGUUUAUG